AGCGGGAAGAGCUCAAAUUUGAAAUCUGGUGGCCUCAGGUCAUCCGAGUUGUAAUCUAUAGAAGUGUUUUCCGUGCUGGCUCAUGUACAAGUCCCUUGGAACAGGGCGUCAUAGAGGGUGAGAAUCCCGUCCUUGACAUGAACUACCAGUGCUCUGUGAUACAUUUUCAACGAGUCGAGUUGUUUGGGAAUGCAGCUCAAAAUGGGUGGUAAAUUCCAUCUAAAGCUAAAUAUUGGCGAGAGACCGAUAGCGAACAAGUACCGUGAGGGAAAGAUGAAAAGCACUUUGGAAAGAGAGUUAAACAGUAUGUGAAAUUGUUGAAAGGGAAACGAUUGAAGUCAGUCGUGCUCUUUGGAUUCAGCCGGUUCUGCCGGUGUACUUCCUUUGAGUGGGGUCAACAUCAGUUUUGAUCGCUGGAUAAAGGCUGGAGGAACGUAGUACCCUCGGGUAAACUUAUAGCCUCCUGUCACAUACAGUGGUUGGGACUGAGGAACGCAGCACGCCUUUAUGGCCGGGAUUCGUCCACGUACGUGCUUAGGAUGUUGACAUAAUGGCUUUAAACGACCCGUCUUGAAACCACGGGACCA
rnacentral:rRNA from 1 species